rnacentral:rRNA from 1 species
UGGGGAAUUUUCCGCAAUGGGCGAAAGCCUGACGGAGCAAUACCGCGUGAGGGACGAAGGCUUUUGGGUCGUAAACCUCUUUUCUCAAGGAAGAUUUAGACGGUACUUGAGGAAUAAGCAUCGGCUAACUCCGUGCCAGCAGCCGCGGUAAUACGGAGGAUGCAAGCGUUAUCCGGAAUGAUUGGGCGUAAAGCGUCCGCAGGUGGUUUUGUAAGUCUGCUGUUAAAGCGUCAUGCUCAACAUGAUAAGGGCAGUGGAAACUAUAAGACUAGAGUAUGUUAGGGGUAGAGGGAAUUCCCAGUGUAGCGGUGAAAUGCGUAGAGAUUGGGAAGAACACCGGUGGCGAAAGCGCUCUGCUAGGACAAUACUGACACUGAGGGACGAAAGCUAGGGGAGCGAA